rnacentral:piRNA from 1 species
UCACAGUAAUGUUUAAGAUUCCAUUUGAUG